GGGCGGAUGGCGGAACUGGUAGACGCGCACGGUUCAGAGCCGUGUGGGAGCAAUUCUAUGAGGGUUCAACUCCCUCUCCGCCCACCC
rnacentral:tRNA from 1 species